rnacentral:ncRNA from 2 species
UCCCAUCCAAGGCUAAAAUAACGUGAGGAGACCGAUAGAUUACAAGUAGUGUGAACGAAAGAUGAAAAGAACUCUAAAACAGAGGGUGAAAAGUUCCUGAACUUGCUUAGGGUUAAGGCUAUUUAUAGUACCCGUCUUGAAACACGGAUUAGGGAGUUUAUCUGUAGUGCGAGUCUUUGCACGUUAACUGUAAAGGCGUAGAGAAAGCAACUGGCGUUUGCAUGGCUACUGAGCAUUACUGAUAGGACCCGAAAGGUGGUGAACUUUGCCUGCACAGGUUGAAGUCAGGGGAAACUCUGAUGGAGGACCGUACGGGUUAUUGAUGUGCAAAUCAUUUUUCUGAUGUAGGUAAAGGUGCGAAAGACUCAUCGAACCACCUAAUAGCUGGUUUCCUCCGAAGUUUCCCUCAGGAUAGCUGUAAUGCAUUUAGUUAAGGGGAGUAGAGAUAUGGGUAGAGGUGCAGGGAGCCUUCGGGUUCUCAACUUAUUUCCAAACUUCGAACCUCCUUGUUAGGCAUUUACCUAACUGGAAAUGCUUAAAUGAAUUAGCGUUACAAGUGGGCUCUGACCGGUAAGCGGUCAUGGCGAAAUGGGAUGAACCAUACGUCUGAAUAAGGUGCCGAAAUGUACUAUCACUGAUACCAUAAAGGGAGUCCAUGUAUUUAGACAGCAGGUCGGUGCCCCUAAAAGCAGGUAUCCGCUAAAGAGUGUGUUAAAACUCACCUGCCGAAUACUAGGGCCCCGAAAAUGAAUGGCGCAUAUAGUACUACCGAUCUCAGACAUCAGUUCUAUUGAACUGAGAGUAGGGGGAUGUGGACAUUUUUGUGAAGGUGCAAUGUGAGUUGGACUGGAAGAAUGUCUAUUACAGAUCCUAAUUGAAGUAGCGAUUAUCCAGGCUUGUAUCCUGGGGGCUGAUGAGGAGUAGGGUUUCUGGACAACUUAAACAGAUCCAGAGUUAGUCGAUCCUAAUCUCAAUGAUGGGAGAAAGGGAGUACAGUUGAUAUUCUGUAACUGACAACAGUUCGCGGCAACG